CUCCUCAGACGAAGAUGUGGAGCAGGAUCCUCCUCAGAUGAAGCUGUGGAUCCUCCUCAGAUGAAGCUGUGGAUCCUCCUCAGACGAAGCUGUGGGUCCCCCUCAGAUGAAGAUGUGGAGCAGGAUCCUCAGAUGAAGCUGUGGAUCCUCCUCAAACGAAGAUGCAGGAUCCUCCUCAGACGAAGCUGUGGAUCCUCUCCUGGAUGGAGGUGGAGCAGGAUGCUCAGACGAAGCUGUGGAUCCUCCUCAGACGAAGCUGUGGAUCCUCUCCUGGAUGGAGGUGGAGCAGGAUGCUCAGACGAAGCUGUGGAUCCUCUCCUGGACGGAGGUGGAGCAGGAUGCUCAGACGAAGCUGUGGAUCCUCUCCUGGACGGAGGUGGAGCAGGAUGCUCAGACGAAGAUGUGGAUCCUCCUCAGAUGAAGAUGUGGAGCAGGAUGCUCAGACGAAGCUGUGGAUCCUCCUCAGAUGAAGAUGUGGAGCAGGAUGCUCAGACGAAGAUGUGGAUCCUCUCGCGGAUGGCCUGGCGGCAGAUGGGGCACACGGUCAGCGCCGUGCUGCAG